rnacentral:lncRNA from 1 species
CUUCCAAAAUGACAAUCUGUAUAUGCUUUCGCAGGCUAUGAAGGAAAGAAUGGCAUGUGAAACUUUUGCCCUAAUAAGAGCAGCUUAAGCGAAAAUGAAAGGGAAAGAAGAUACAGGAAACAAACAGUGCCUUCUAGCUUCAAAUUCUAAGAUCAAACUUUAAGAGCAGAAGUCUCACCCUUAUCUCACAAUCUUGCUUUAGGCAUCUCCAGAUUAGUAUAAGUGUUGAAAAAGAACCUUCGUUCAUUUACCCAUUGCCUGUGCUUACUGACAAUACAGAUUCUCUGUUCAAGUAGAAGGACUUGGUUGAUUACGAGGCAGGAGAAAUGGAUAGAGCCAAGCAUGCCAGGAAUCUUGCAGCAAGUGGGAGGCUGGAUGAGCCCGUCAUCUGGAAAGUUUCCAUUUAGCGCAAAACAUAACAUUAUUACAGCAAAAUUCUCAAGAAUUUUUGUGACAGAAGGGAUGCUAUACAUUUCAAGGAAUAAAGUUAAGUGCAGAGCUUAAAUUAAGUGACUUGAUAUAUAUUAAAGCAAAAACUAUUUGGAUUAUCAAGGCAAAAGAAUGUAGAAAUCAGCUGUGGAAGAAGUUCACAAAAUAAAUUCUAUUCAAAGCCCAGGCAAGGCAUUGUGAAAGGCAACCUUCAUAAUGUUCUGACAAAUAGGGAAGUCUAUAUUGGUGCCUUACGUCACAUAGUGACAUUGCAAGAGAAGAAGGUCUGUUUUCAUGAGAAAUUAAGGAGGAGGACAGCGAAGAAAGGAGAAUUAUUUUGUUUAUUAGAGAACACAUCUGAAGAUUAGAAAUAAUCAUGCCUGUGUCUACUAUCACCAUAGCUGGAGUCAAUUAUGAGGGAGAAGCUUAAGAGGGCCUGUCAAGAAUGGAAACUAGGAAAAGCCCAGGAAAUGGGGGGAGAGAGCGCAUUGUCGCCUAGAAAAAGGUGUCCAAUGAAUCAUGAGUUUCACAAUAUUGAGAACGAGUUCCCAGAACAUAGAGCAAAAGGUCAAAGAGACAGAUGCAAGAAGACAUAUAAAUGUUACAGAGGAUUGGUCCAGGAGAUCCAAUUAUCUAUCUCACCAAGAAAAGUCCAGAAGAUAGAAGAAUGAAAAUAGAAAAAAGAAAAUAACCAAUUCUUGGCCAAAGGUUUUGAACCUAGAACUCUAUACCAAGUAUCAAUCAAGUGUAAGGUCUGAAUAAAGAUAUUU